rnacentral:rRNA from 1 species
AUGUUGGAGGUGAGGUUGAUGACCCCCCUCCCCCUCCACGCUGGAUCCGCAAACCUCGUCAUUGUUGGUGACUUGCUUGAACCUGCCGGAGCCACCGACGUGUGCCACUUUUGCAUCAUUGUCAUGCAUCUCCGCCUCCUCGCCUUCAUGAGCCUUGAGCAUCGCCUAGUUGUCGUGGAUGAUCUCCGGGUCCUUAAGAAGUGCAACAAUGACUGUGUCAUCUAUGUGCUCUGCCUCGAGUUGCACGACAACUGCCGGGUGCUCCUCCAAGAGCAUGAGGCAAACUUGCUUCUCUGCCCCUGCCAUGGACAAGACACAAUCCACCCCGCCAACCAGAGUCGCAGCCUCAACAGUCAUUGUCUACGCCUCCUCCGUAGGAACAUCCUCCUUCGUGAGCACCUCUUCCUCUUAGACCUCUGCCAUCACCAUACCUUGGGGUCGCCAUCCUCCUCCUCCGACCUCGGCCAUCGGGAGCUUGGAGGGUGGGAUAGUGGGGUUCUGCAUCUAUCUAGUACGGAGAUUCCAAGCAAUUUACUCUCUUGA